GUCCGCGCCGCAGCUAACGCAUUAAGUUCCCCGCCUGGGGAGUACGGCCGCAAGGCUAAAACUCAAAGGAAUUGACGGGGGCCCCGCACAAGCGGCGGAGCAUGUGGCUUAAUUCGACGCAACGCGAAGAACCUUACCAAGGCUUGACAUACACCGGAAACCUCUGGAGACAGGGGCCCCCCUUCGUGGUCGGUGUGACAGGUGGUGCAUGGCUGUCGUCAGCUCGUGUCGUGAGAUGUUGGGUUAAGUCCCGCAACGAGCGCAACCCUUGUUCUGUGUUGCCAGCAUGCCUUUCGGGGUGAUGGGGACUCACAGGAGACUGCCGGGGUCAACUCGGAGGAAGGUGGGGACGACGUCAAGUCAUCAUGCCCCUUAUGUCUUGGGCUGCACACGUGCUACAAUGGCCGGUACAAUGAGCUGCGAAGCCGUGAGGUGGAGCGAAUCUCAAAAAGCCGGUCUCAGUUCGGAUUGGGGUCUGCAACUCGACCCCAUGAAGUCGGAGUCGCUAGUAAUCGCAGAUCAGCAUUGCUGCGGUGAAUACGUUCCCGGGCCUUGUACACACCGCCCGUCACGUCACGAAAGUCGGUAACACCCGAAGCCGGUGGCCCAAC
rnacentral:rRNA from 1 species